GCACAGCUAUGCUCAGCCAAUAGAGCAUGAGACUCUUAAUCUCAGGAUUGUGGGUUCGAGCCCCACAUUGGGUG